rnacentral:tRNA from 1 species
GGGGCCGUCGGCUAGCUUGGUCUAGGCUACGUGGCUCGGGCCCACGUGACUCCGGUCCAAAUCCGGGCGGCCCCACCA